UACGAGGGGUGCUAGCGUUGUUCGGAAUCACUGGGCGUAAAGCGUACGUAGGCGGACUGACAAGUCAGGGGUGAAAUCCCAGAGCUUAACUCUGGAACUGCCUUUGAAACUGUCAGUCUGGAGGCCGAGAGAGGAUAGUGGAAUUCCUAGUGUAGAGGUGAAAUUCGUAGAUAUUAGGAGGAACACCAGUGGCGAAGGCGACUGUCUGGCUCGGUUCUGACGCUCAAGUACGAAAGCGUGGGGAGCAAACAGG
rnacentral:rRNA from 1 species